GAUGAACGCUGGCGGCGUGCCUAAUACAUGCAAGUCGAGCGAACAGACGAGGAGCUUUCUCCUCUGACUUUAUCGGCGGACGGGUGAGUAACACGUGGAUAACCUACCUAUAAGACUGGGAUAACUUCGCGAAACCAUAUCUAAUACCGGAUAACAUGUUGAACCUCAUUGUUCAACAGUUAAAUACGGUCUUUCUGUCACUUAUAGAUUGAUCCGCGCCGCAUUAGCUAGUUGUUAAGGUAACGGCUUACCAACGCAACGAUGCGUAGCCGACCUGAGAGGGUGAUCCGAUAGCCUGGCACAGAGAAACGGUACAGACUCCUGCGGGAGGAAGCAGCAGGGAAUCCUACGCGAUGGGCGAAUGGGGGACGGAGGAAAGCCGGGUGAGUGCAGAAGGUGUUAGGAUCGUAAAAUGAUGUUAUUCGGGAAGAACAAAUGUGUAAGUAACUAUGAACGUAUUGACGGUACCUAAUCAGAAAGCCCCGGCUAACUCCGUG
rnacentral:rRNA from 1 species